rnacentral:tRNA from 1 species
GGCCGAGUGGCGGAAUUGGCAGACGCACGGGACUUAAAAUCCCGAGUCCGUAAAGGGCGUGGGGGUUCGAGUCCCCCCUCGGCUA